ensembl:lncRNA
AGGGGAAAGUGGACUUAAAACACUGCAAACUUCAUAGAGCAAUGUGAGAAAUUGCUCGUGUGUUGGCUGAAACAUUCAGCCUCUUAAUCCAGUGAACUGCUGUGCUGACUACAAAUGCUGCAGGUAUUGUCACUCUGCAUAUUAAGCAUAUAUUUCAAGGUAAUACGUGCAUCCUAGUGGAUGAGGCAAUCUUCAAACAUACACCAAUUGUGUUAGCAUAGAGGUUACCAACACAAAGAAAUCAAGCCCUAAGUCGUCUUUUAUUGAAUCAUGAGUUACUUUUUUCUUUCAUCUAAACUGAUGCUUUAUGAAACAACAUGAGCUUCAGUGGAAAUAUGCCAGUCUGCAGCAGCAGCAGGACUGGCUCUUUGCUGCUCAGCCACUUUGUGACAUCAUACCAGCAACCCAGUAUGAACCUCAGUAGUUCUAUGAGCUAGACAAGAGUAUCCAUGUUAAGGAACCUCAGAGAGAAUCUGGUGAAAGACAUAUCUUUGAAAUUUCCCAGGGUUUCAAGCAGCACCGGCUCUGGUUCCAUGUUAUUAAUAUUGGAUUUCUACAACACUUGGGAAAAGAAAACUGAUCAGGAUCAGGGAGGAAAUUACAUUUCUGUCCAGUUAGCUGCAACAUCCAGAACAUGAUUCACAUUGACGGUGCUUUAUGCUGCCUCUUUAAGUUAUUCCUCAUCCAAUACCAGCACUGCAAGGACAGUAAAUACCUGAUCUGACAUGCAGUCUGCACAAAGUUAACCCUUCAGCAUGUCUCGAACAAAUCUGAAGCAGUCAGGUGAGGUGUCCCACUUCAGUGCCUGCCAUCAACACACUGCAGCAUUUGAAUUCCUCAUUGCUAGGUGUCUAAAGCCUCACAUGAUUUCUCUGGAAACCAUAACUUAAGACUAUUUCAUUUCCAGUUCUUCAAAACCUAUCUGCUUAAUUAUUAACCUGAUAAACUGCAAAAUCUUGCCCUGUUGCAUGUACUGUCCCCCCUUCAGAGCAGUUCAGCUGACUCUUGAGGGGCUCUCCAAGGUCAGCGCUGCCCUCACUUCUGCUGUGAAAGGUGUACGUGCUCCCUGACUCUGCCACUGGGCCAACCAUGGGUGUGUGAAUAAUACAGGAGUGCACAGAUAAGCUAGGGUCACUGCUGAGUGUGAUAAUGCUCUCUUAGUAGAACUAAAACUGAGUGCCAUGGCUCUGGCAUCUCAAGCACUGCGCCUCUGUGAGAUCCUGGGGCCAAAGUGUGAAUCAGCGUGAAAAUGCCAGGGGUUGCUUUAUAGAUCUAGCAACCAGAUUUAAAUAUUGCCUAGAAAACCAGGUCCUGCUUUCAUAUCAUCACUGAGACUGGUAACAGCAGGUAUCUCUUCAGUAACAUUGUUCUCUACCUGGCACACCAGAUAUCACGACACUGCUGAAGACCUCACCAUCAGUCUUGUUGCAACUGACGGAAGCCAGUCUGUCUCGAAGUUGGGAACAUAUAAUUGUUUCAAUGUUUGAAGAUUUAAGUUACAGUGUUGUGUCCACAGUGACUUUUCCAUGCAAGAAGCAGUAUUCCCUGUAGAUCACAGCUUCACCUAUUUUAUCCAAACUCUGUCUCAAAGCUGUUCAGGAAAAUGAAUCUUAAUUCAGCUGAAAGGCUGCCAACAUA